rnacentral:rRNA from 1 species
GAUGCAACGCGAAAAACCUUACCUACCCUUGACAUGUCAAGAAUUCUGCAGAGAUGUGGAAGUGCUCGAAAGAGAACUUGAACACAGGUGCUGCAUGGCCGUCGUCAGCUCGUGUCGUGAGAUGUUGGGUUAAGUCCCGCAACGAGCGCAACCCUUGUCAUUGGUUGCUACGCAAGGGCACUCUAAUGAGACUGCCGGUGACAAACCGGAGGAAGGUGGGGAUGACGUCAGGUCCUCAUGGCCCUUAUGGGUAGGGCUACACACGUCAUACAAUGGCCGGUACAGAGGGCUGCCAACCCGCGAGGGGGAGCCAAUCCCAGAAAACCGGUCGUAGUCCGGAUCGUAGUCUGCAACUCGACUGCGUGAAGUCGGAAUCGCUAGUAAUCGCGGAUCAGCUUGCCGCGGUGAAUACGUUCCCGGGUCUUGUACACACCGCCCGUCACACCAUGGG